UGAUUCUGUCUGCACUCAAUCCUCGUGA
rnacentral:sRNA from 1 species